rnacentral:pre_miRNA from 12 species
AAGUGGUUCAUCUCUUCAAUUCCGUAGUGCAUUGCAGUGUUUGAUUUAGCAAUCUGCAAGCAGUGCGGAAGUGAGGAGAUGCUUUCACAAUCGGCA